GGGAUCUUCCCGGACCGGGGCACGAACCCGUGUCCCCUGCAUGGGCAGGCGGACUCUCAACCACUGCGCCACCAGGGAGGCCCUGGCAUCCUGUAUUUUUACUUGCUUAAUCUGGCAACCCCACCGUCUACUCCACACUUUUAAGACUCCUCAGGCCAAGCACGAAGAUGCCCCGAGGUCCAGUUCGGUUCACUUAGUGUAUCUCUGCUGGCAUUCGGGUGAGGAUGGAGGUGCAGGUGGGUAAGGGGUGCGAAUUGGAGAAAGUAGUAAACAGAAUUAUUCAACGCAGUUUGGGAGUGGGUAGAAAAUGUUAGAACUUCACUGAGCUUAUGAAUGUAUCCUAGCUGAAAUUGUACAGAUACUGCAAUGAAGAAUUUGUAGCUUUAACCCUUGUUAAACAUUCUGUAAGUACUAUGAGUUUCACCAGUUUUUCCUGCAGUGAUGUUCACCAGGUGUUCAAGAGCGUAUCUGAGGUAGUUCUGAUCCUAAUUUCUGGGGCACAUCAGAAGUUAAACCUCCUGUGCUUCUGGAAAGAGCUGGUUCCACUCCCAGUUGUGGAAGGGAAAUGACUUGGGGUAUUGACAGGCCGGGGUGCGGGUAGAGGUGGAGAUUCAGUCUCCUGUUCCCUGGAGAACUAACUGGGGUCCUCCCGUUGUGUACGGGUAAUUAGGAUGAUGCAAAGCAGCAGUUCUUAACGAGCGUCUCAAGAGGCAGGAGCUCAUAACUGCACACGGGCUCUGCCCCGACCUGGGAAGCUGGUCUUCCAGCAGGACUGGUUACACCACCAGCACACCACGCCUGCAGGAACCCUCAGGUCACUGCUGGUGUGCGGUUGGUAAAAUAAAAAAAGAGGUAAGAGUUCUUACCUGUUUAAUUAAGCAGGCGCAGAGUUCAUCGAGGGUUGGGGCAGUGUGGGGUGGUAGACUUAUAGAAAAGGGUUGAUGAGAAUGACAGGAAAGUAAGAAGAGAGGAGGUGCUGUGGUUUGAAGGUAUGGCUGCAGCAGUGAAGUUAAAAAUUAGGUAUUUAUUUUGUUCCACUCAACCCAGGCAAGAUAUCCCUGGUUAGAGGUUCAAGGGCACCCAGAUCCAUGAGGAGAGACAGCAGCUAAAUGUCUACGGACAGUGACAAACAACCUUCGAGAUGCCACCAGGACGCAGACUUCACAUUGAAGAAGAGGCAUUUUAUUGGCAGUCAUUCUUUUCUUUGUUAUAUUAACAGCGUGAAGCAGUGAUUUCAAAACAGUAAAAGCCGGCUUCUCCCCAGACUGUGGUAUCAGAGGGCUAUCAGAGAGCAGCAGGUAAGAGAAAUCUCAACCACUGAGUUUGAAGGAGACAAUCUGUACCACUAGUCCAGCUCUUGCAACCAGCAGACUCUCAUCCACCUGAUCAGCCGAGGAGCACACAACAGAAAACCUAAGAAUCAUGCCAAGGACAAGACCAGCGAGGGUUAGCAGCGCUGCAGACCUCGACAGACGCAGGGGCCCUGGGAGAACGUGGCUUUCUCCAAAGGGCUGCCCCCACUAUCUAUCUCUUCUCAACCUAUUCCGGGUCCAGAAAGCUGCCUGCUUGGGUGGGAAUCCAUCUAGCUAGGAGAGCGCUGCUUCCCACUCCUUUGGGAAACUACAAACCCUUCCGGUCUGUCCUGCUCCCUGGUGACGCAGAGGCGGGGGCAGCAGGCACUACACAGCUGGUCUACAUGCUUCGGCAGAGGCUUACUUGCCUAAGUGCUUGCAUCGUGACAGCAGCCCGUCUGCUGGGCUGGCCUAGGCUGCGUCUCCUUGGAAGACAGUGCGGAUGGCAGACAGGAGGCUCGGCCUGACCCAGUCCUUCAGACAUUCCUACCCCUGCAUCUCAUCCCCAGUCUGAAUGGCGGUAUUUAGGGAAAAACUGCCCCAGGGCCGGCGGACAGGCCCACAGGAGUUACACCUUCUAGUACUGACGAGUGCAAGGGAUUCCAGCCACAAUUUCCGAUUCGAUUCCACAGUGAUCCUCUCCUCUGAGGAUUUUAAAGAAGCCUAGAGAGCAGAAGACGCCUUUAGAGAGUGCUUGGCUUUUGCCGACAUAUCCAGACCCACCCCUGAAAAACGGGGAAACGGAAGUCACAAACCAGCCCCAAAGCUGUCACCAGCCGGCCCACAAGGUGCUCUGCCGGUUUCCGUUCAGCUCGCAUCCAGCCCCUGCACCUGGUGCUGUGGGGACCCAGGCCCAGCACACACCCUCCCGGGAUCAGAGGCUGCCCUCGUGGAAGCCCCGGCUCCCCGGCACCUGCACAGCUGGCGGAGCAGGACAGGACGCCUGCUGUGCCCUGCUCAGGGGGCCCUGCUCUCAGCAGGAAGGGGCUGCGCUCACCAUUGUCACCCCAGUCGGUGUUCCAGGAGUUGCCGACCAGCCAGUAGGGGGUGCCAUUCUCCACUCCCCAGCCCAGGAUGCGGAUGGCGUGGCCUCCCAUCAUCUCUCCUGUGACGUGCUGGUACACCCCUGGGAAAGGAGACAGCGGUCAGGCCGGGCAGCCACCCCAUCUGCCACAGCACCCCUCCAGCUCACUGGUCACCCCGGGCAGGACGGACGGGGCCAGAGGAAAGGACCGGCCCUGGCGUUCCACAAGAAGGCUCCAGGGGUUCCCACAACAUUUUGGAAUGAAAGCCUAACACACUAUAGGAGGUAAAUAUUAAGAUGGAGGCCAAUCAAAUGUGUUCAUUGGUUCCCUUUAAAACUAAAGUUGUAAAUUUUAAUAAAAAUACCAACAGAUAUCUGUG